rnacentral:lncRNA from 1 species
GCCCGUCUUACAGACUGAAGAUCAGGUUUAUUGUAUUUUACAGCUCAUUGGAAGACGCAUGUUGGCAGCCCAGAACACUGGUACAUGUGUCAGACACAUCUGGCUCAACAAGAAUAUGAUCCAACACCCAAGGAGCACAACUAAGAUUAUCCCAUUGACUUCUGUAGGCAUUCAUCCAAGCCACUACCCUCUUGGUGCUGCAUUACUCCCCUUAAUGGACAAUUCUGAGCUCACAUCUGUGUUCUAAAACAUUGCUGGUGGUACAUAAAGAAUGAGUUUGUUUGCUUUUAUUAUGGUGUAUGGUUCACAUUCUAUCAAUAUAAUCCAAGGUUUAAGUUUGAUGUUAAAUAAUCGACCUGUUUAAGAAGGGAAUGUUUUAAUAAAGCUUUGCCACAUAUAUAAAUAACA